rnacentral:rRNA from 1 species
ACAAUGAGAUACAGGUGGUGCAUGGUUGUCGUCAGCUCGUGUCGUGAGAUGUUGGGUUAAGUCCCGCAACGAGCGCAACCCCUGUCGUUAGUUGCCAGCAGUAAGAUGGGGACUCUAACGAGACUGCCAGUGACAAACUGGAGGAAGGUGGGGAUGACGUCAAAUCAUCAUGCCCCUUAUGACCUGGGCUACACACGUGCUACAAUGGUUGGUACAAAGAGAAGCGAAGCGGUGACGUGGAGCAAACCUCAUAAAGCCAAUCUCAGUUCGGAUUGUAGGCUGCAACUCGCCUACAUGAAGUUGGAAUCGCUAGUAAUCGCGAAUCCGAAUGUCACGGUGAAACCGUUCCCGGGUCUUGUACACACCGGAAAAU